rfam:Ciona intestinalis ciona0678, whole genome shotgun sequence.
GUCGUCGUGGCCGAGUGGUUAAGGCGACAGAUUUGAAAUCUGUUGGGCUCUGCCCGCACAGGUUCGAAUCCUGUCGGCGACG